rnacentral:rRNA from 1 species
GACGGAAGGUGCAAGCGUUGCUCGGAAUCACUGGGCGUAAAGGGUUCGUAGGUGGCCAACUAAGUCAGACGUGAAAUCCCUCAGCUUAACUGGGGAACUGCGUCUGAGACUGGAUGGCUUGAGUGCAGGAGGGGAGAGUGGAAUUCCUGGUGUAGCGGUGAAAUGCGUAGAUAUCGGGCGGAACACCAGCGGCGAAGGCGGACAUCCUGGCCCUGACCUGACGCUGAGGCGCGAGAGCGUGGGGAGCAACC